UUGGAGGGCAAGUCUGGUGCCAGCAGCCGCGGUAAUUCCAGCUCCAAUAGCGUAUAUUAAAGUUGUUGCAGUUAAAAAGCUCGUAGUUGAACCUCGGGAUCAAUGGAUCGGUCAUGCCAAUGGUAUGUACUGGUCAUAUUGGUUCUCACCUUCUAAGGAACCAUGAUGUCAUUCAUUUGAUGUUGUGGGGAAUUAGGACUGUUACCUUGAAAAAAUUAGAGUGUUUAAAGCAGGCUAACGCUUGAAUACAUUAGCAUGGAAUAAUGAAAUAGGACAUCGCAUUCUAUUUUGUUGGUUUCUAGGAUCGAUGUAAUGAUUAAUAGGGAUAGUUGGGGGCAUUAGUAUUCAAUUGUCAGAGGUGAAAUUCUUGGAUUUAUUGAAGACUAACUACUGCGAAAGCAUUUGCCAAGGAUGUUCUCAUUAAUCAAGAACGAAAGUUAGGGGAUCGAAGACGAUCAGAUACCGUCGUAGUCUUAACCAUAAACUAUGCCGACUAGGGAUCGGAUGAUGUUGAUUUUUUAAUGACUCAUUCGGCGCCUUACGGGAAAC
rnacentral:rRNA from 1 species